rnacentral:rRNA from 1 species
UACGGAGGGUGCAAGCGUUAUCCGGAUUCACUGGGUUUAAAGGGUGCGUAGGUGGGCAGGUAAGUCAGUGGUGAAAUCUCCGGGGCUUAACUCGGAAACUGCCAUUGAUACUAUCUGUCUUGAAUACCGUGGAGGUCAGCGGAAUAUGUCAUGUAGCGGUGAAAUGCUUAGAUAUGACAUAGAACACCAAUUGCGAAGGCAGCUGGCUACACGAAUAUUGACACUGAUGCACGAAAGCGUGGGGAUCAAACAGGG